UAGUACGGCGAGUGAAGAGGGAAGAGCCCAAGAUUGAAAGCUGGCGUCUUCGGCGUCCGCAUUGUAAUCUCAAGAAGUGUUUUCCGCUUCGGACCAAGCCUAAGUCCCCUGGAAAGGGGCAUCAUAGAGGGUGGUAAUCCCGUACAUGGCUUGGAGCGCCCGAGGCUUUGUGAUACACUUUCUAAGAGUCGAGUUGUUUGGGAAUGCAGCUCAAAAUGGGUGGUAAAUGCCAUCUAAGGCUAAAUAUUGGGGAGAGACCGAUAGCGAACAAGUACAGUGAUGGAAAGAUGAAAAGAACUUUGAAAAGAGAGUUAAACAGUACGUGAAAUUGCCAAAAGGGAAGGGUAGGAGGUCAGAGAUGCGGCCUGGGAUUCAGCCUUGCUUUUGCUUGGUGUUUUUCCCAGAUUGCAGGCCAACGUCGGUUUUGGGCACUGGAGAAGGGUAGGAGGAACGUGGCACCUCUCGGGGUGUGUUAUAGCCUCCUACUGGAUACAGCGACCGAGACCGAGGACAGCAGCGUACUCGCAAGAGCGGGCCUUCGGGCACCUUUACGCUUAGGGCGUUGGCAUAAUGGCCCUCUACCACCCGUCUUGA
rnacentral:rRNA from 1 species